GGAGGGGUGGCCGAGUGGUUGAAGGCGCUCGCCUGGAAAGCGAGUAUGCGGCUAAAACCGUAUCAAGGGUUCGAAUCCCUUCCCCUCCG
rnacentral:tRNA from 1 species